rnacentral:rRNA from 1 species
GCACAAGCGGUGGAUCAUGUUGUUUAAUUCGAUGAUACGCGAGGAACCUUACCAGGUCUUGACAUCCCCCGCGAUGCUUUAGAGAUAAAGCGGAGGUAUUCGGGGAGACAGGUGGUGCAUGGUUGUCGUCAGCUCGUGUCGUGAGAUGUUGGGUUAAGUCCCGCAACGAGCGCAACCCCUAUUGCUAGUUACCAUCAUUAAGUUGGGGACUCUAGCGAGACUGCCAGUGAUAAACUGGAGGAAGGUGGGGAUGACGUCAAAUCAUCAUGCCCCUUAUGACCUGGGCUACAAACGUGAUACAAUGGCUGGAACAAAGGGAUGCGAAGCAGUGAUGUGGAGCGAAACCCAUAAAAACAGUCUCAGUUCGGAUUGAAGUCUGCAACUCGACUUCAUGAAGUCGGAAUCGCUAGUAAUCGCGGAUCAGAACGCCGCGGUGAAUACGUUCUCGGGGUUU